AAUGAUCCAAAAGUAGAACUAACUGGUGAAAUUAUACUUAAAUAUCAGAUGGGCAAAAAAUUUAAUUAUUUUAGGAAAAUUAUGAAGAACGAAAACAUAGACAGACUUUUUAGAAGAGCUGUUUUGGACGCUUUCUUGAGCUGGCUGAGGACUCCCCUACCCGUUUUCAUAUGAGGAUGGUAUAUGGUCUUCUGAAGCACAGGAUCAAUUACGUGGGGAUGAUAAAGAUUCGAAGGAGGGGGCAAAAAGAUGAAUGAAAUCUGGAUCAACUACUGUGACAUAUCGGUUUGUUUUGGCUGUUUGUCAUAGUGGCGGUCUUGAGAUGCCACUGUCCAGAACAACCACCUAGAUGGAUUGUUUGACAUUGCAAGAUCCAACGCAAUAAAAUACAAGAAAAAAAUAGAUGGAUUGUUGGACAUUGCUCGAUGUGGCUAUAAAGCAUCAGAUUUGUUGACAAAUCUCAUGGAUAAAACUAUACCAAAGCAGUACAGGGAGC
rnacentral:lncRNA from 1 species